rnacentral:rRNA from 1 species
UACGUAGGGAGCAAGCGUUGUCCGGAAUCAUUGGGCGUAAAGCGCGCGUAGGUGGCUUCGUAAGUCCGUUGUGAAAGUCAAAGGCUCAACCUUUGAAAGCCGAUGGAUACUGCGGAGCUAGAGUACGGAAGAGGCGAGUGGAAUUCCUGGUGUAGCGGUGGAAUGCGCGGAUAUCAGGAGGAACACCAAUAGCGAAGGCAGCUCGCUGGGACGUUACUGACACUGAGGCGCGAAAGCGUGGGGAGCGAACAGG